UGGGAGAGCGCUUGCAUGGCAUGCAAGAGGUCAGCGGUUCGAUCCCGCUUACCUCCACCA
rnacentral:tRNA from 1 species